rnacentral:rRNA from 1 species
ACGGAAGGCAGCAGUGGGGAAUAUUGGGCAAUGGGCGAAAGCCUGACCCAGCAACGCCGCGUGAAGGGAGAAGGUCUUCGGAUUGUAAACUUCUUUUAUGAGGGACGAAGGAAGUGACGGUACCUCAUGAAUAAGCCCCGGCUAACUACGUGCCAGCAGCCGCGGUAAUACGUAGGGGGCGAGCGUUAUCCGGAUUUACUGGGUGUAAAGGGCGCGUAGGCGGGACGGCAAGUCAGGUGUGAAAUCUAUGGGCUUAACCCAUAAACUGCAUUUGAAACUGUCGUUCUUGAGUGCUGGAGAGGUAGACGGAAUUCCUUGUGUAGCGGUGAAAUGCGUAGAUAUAAGGAAGAACACCAGUGGCGAAGGCGGUCUACUGGACAGUAACUGACGCUGAGGCGCGAAAGCGUGGGGGGCAAACAGGAUUAGAUACCCUGGUA